GUGAACUGAAACACCAGACUUAUUGAAGCAAAAUGCAAGUGUAAGCUGGGUCAAGAUAAGCUCUACCCUGACAUCUGGUGGUGAAUUGUGCUAACUUGAGAUUUCAAACUGAAGAGAAAAUCUAUCACUUUACUGGGUAAGAUGAUCCCAUGACUUACAAUUUGGAGCAAAUAAACCAACAAAGAUGGAAGAAGACGUUCUAUUGCACAAGCUGAGCCAAGUGUCCAGGAAACUUUCUUUGGUGCACAUCCUCAUUAUCAACCUACCCACUCUCCUAACAAGGCCAGUCUCAGUGACCUGCACAAGAUGCACAAGUUUACAAAGGGGACAGUCUCCAGCUCAAGAAGAGAUACACAAGUUGCUGAAAGCGUCUCGCCUGAAAUAGUAUGUUUGCCAAGAAGGCUAAUGGUAUAUUGAGCUGCAUUAUUAGGAGCAUUGCCAU